rnacentral:lncRNA from 1 species
UGGGAGGAUCCAAUGAUGGAGACCUAGGUGGAGGCGACGGGAAAUCUGCAGCUGGAGGAGCCCGCAGCUGAAGGACCUCAUGAUAGAGGCGUAGGUGGAGGAGGCCACGACAAGGAGUGCGAGUAACCUACAACGAAGGAGCCGGAGCAGCUUUCUCUUUCCUCCUGGAAGGUAAAUCUUGUUUCUUUCUCCAUGUGUUAUGCUUAAUUUGCUUAUCAAUUUGUAUUUAUUCCCAUGUCUGAUGGAAUGGUUGAACCAAGAAACUGAAAGCUAAGCUAGUUAUCCCUUUUUUCAUCUUUUGUUGCAUUCAAGUAAUGAAAUGUUAUAAUCUGUAUGCCUACCAUGUGAUUUAUGGAAAUGCUCUUGGGUGUCCAUAUUGGUGUAGCAUUUUCUUUUUCACAAAGAUACUAUUUUAUAAGAACAAGGGUCCCAUACUGGAGCAUUUUUCUUUCACUUGGUUGAGUAAUACUUUAAUCUUUGCUGUGAAAGAAUGGUAUUCCUACAAAUUUUUUUGGCAAAUAUUAAAUUCUUGAUUUUGUUGGUCACUGGAAGUGUUAUGCUUUGUUUCUCUUUCUGUGUUUGUCCUGUUUUUAAAACACUACAAGAUAAAAACAAUGUUAUGACUAAUAAUUAUAAUAUUUCAAAUACAGCUAGUUAAUAUGUCAGACUGCACUUGGAUGUAUAGUGGCUGGCAGCGUGGUAAAGCACCCUCUAGUGAAUGGAUGGAUGAAACCACUAAAUUCUUGGACCAUGCAUUUUCCAAUAUGGAUGUAGCUAAGAAUGACACCAUCAAGUGUCCUUGUGCCAUGUGCCGAAACUAUUUCGGUCUCAAAAAGGAUAUUGUAGCGAUACACUUGUGCAAGCAUGGUUUUAGGGAGGGUUAUGAAACAUGGACGGAGCAUGGGGAGAGUCAUAUUAGGCAUCAUGAAGGUGAUAGCAUUGCAAACGGGGAGGGUUUUGAUGAGGUUGAUCGAAUGGAUCGAAUGCUGAUUGAUCUAGCUGGGGAUAAUCCACCUAUAGUAGAUGAACAAUCGACACCAUUUGCCAAAGCUUAUUAUAGGAUGGUUGAUAGUGCGAGUGAGUUGGUGCAUGACAAGACCACACACUCUAGGUUAUCUGCUGUUGCUCGCUUGCUUGCCGUGAAGUCACGACAUAACAUGUCAAUUGCAUAAUAUGAUGAUAUAAUGGGCAUAAUACAUGAACUUCUUCCUCCAGAUUCUAAUUUGCCUAAUGACUUCUACCAAUCAAAGAAACUACUAGAGGGUCUUGGUAUGUCGUAUGUGAAAAUUGAUGUUUGUUAUAACAAUUGCAUGCUCUUCUACAAAGAGAAUGCAAGUAAGGAGAAAUGUGAUGUUUGUGGUGAAAACCGGUAUGUCGAAGGUCGGCGAAAAAAGGUUCCACGCAAAGUUCUACGGUACCUACCCAUCAAAGAUAGGCUGCAAAGGUUGUAUGCACAUGUGGAUACAGCCAAGCUAAUGCGGUCACCUAGUCCAUCAACAUCUGGUAAGAUGGUGCACCCUUGUGAUGGAGAAGCUUGGUAGCAAUUUGAUCGAGACUUUCCAGAGUUUUCAAAGGAUAGAAGAAAUGUGCGGCUUGCUUUAUCAACCGAUGGUUUCACACCAUUUAGUAUAAAUGCUGCCCCGUACUCAUGCUGGCCAGUCUUUGUGACGCCAUUAAAUCUGCCUCCUGGCACACUCUUAAGGCCAGAGUAUAUAUUUCUUGCCCUUAUUGUUCCUGGCCCUAAGCAUCCUGGUAAAAAGUUGAAUGUUCUAAUGCAGCCCUUAGUUGAUGAACUUCAAACAUUGUGGGAAGGGGUUGACACAAUCGAUGCUUCGACAAAGCGUAGUUUCAAAAUGAAGGCAGCAUACCUUUGGUCCGUACAUGACUUCAUGGCAUAUGGAGACUUUGCUGGAUGGAGCACCCAUGGUAGAUUGUCAUGCCCGUAUGGAUAUGGCUGCAUGGGUUUCCUACUAAAGAAUGGUCAUAAGGCUUGUUGGUUUGACCGUCAUAGGCGCGUCUUGCCUACAGACCAUGUGUUUAGGCAACAAGCUAAUGCAUUUCGUAAGAACACAACAGUGUUGGAUGAGCCACCUAGGAGGUUGACAGGGGAUGAACUCCAGGCCAAUGCAACUAGACUUGCAGGUGACAAGUCCUUUGGUAAAUUGCACAAUUGGACACAUGUACUUUGCUUUAGACAGCUUCCAUAUUUCUCCAAGUUACUUCUUCCACAUAAUAUUGAUGUGAUGCAUAAUGAAAAGAAUGUGAGUGAAGCCAUAUGGAACACAUGCUUUGACAUAGCUAGUAAGACAAAAGAUAAUGUCAAAGCUAGGCUAGAUUUAGCUAUGAUUUGUAACCGGCCUUCGCUAAAUUUGGUCCAAAAGAACAAUGGGAAGUGGGACAGGCCUAGAGCUCCAUUCUGCAUUGCCAAAGAGGACAAGCCAACCAUUCUCCAAUGGUUUAAAGAAUUGAAGUUUCCUGAUGCAUAUGCAGCCAACAUUAGGCGUGGUGUGGAUAUGGAAAAUAAGAGGAUUCUUGGCGUAAAAAGUCACGACUACCACAUCUUUAUUGAAAGAUUGCUUGCAGUUGUGUUCCGUGGAUUUGUACCAGAUAAUGUAUGGCGCUCUUUGGCUGAGCUUAGUUACUUCUAUCGACAAUUGUGUGCCAAAGAACUUAGUAAAGAUGUUGUUCACUCUUUAGAACAGAAUGUUGUAGUUCUUCUUUGCAAAUUAGAGAAGAUAUUCCCUCCUGGAUUCUUCAAUGUUAUGCAACAUCUAAUCAUCCAUCUGCCUUAUGAGGCACGAUUGGGAGGGCCAGUUCUAGCCCGUUGGAUGUAUCCAUAUGAGAGGUAAAUCUAAAACAUAUCUACAUGUCAAUUGAGGUUCAUUAGUUUUUUAUCUGUAAUCUGUUCCUCUUAUUUCAUAGGUUUAUCAACAAAAUUAAGAAGAAAGUAAGAAAUAAGGCACAUGUUGAGGCUGCUAUUGCUUAGGCAUUUCUAGUUGAAGAGGCUACAAAUUUUCUUACUCUAUAUUUCAAAUCCACUGCACCUUCUAUUAGAAACAAGAUGCCACGAUAUGAUGAUGGCUCAUCUACAUUUGAAGCUACAUCUGACCUUGAAAUUUUUAAAUGCUCGGGUCGAUGCAUCAGCCCAAGGGUUAUUCGUAGCCUCUCAAAUGAGGAGUACAAGGUUGCUUUCUUGUACAUACUAACAAACAUACCUGAGAUGGAUGAUUUCUUUAUGUAAGUUAUAAAAAUUACAUGAGUAGAGUUUUCCCAAAUAACCUGGACCUUUCAUGUGAGUUGAGUAUUGUUUCUACUUGUAGACAAUUUGAUAAAGAGCAGUGGAAGAGCCGAUCUGAUCCCACUGAACAGCAACUUCGUGAUUUGAGAUUAAAUGGUUGGAAAAAUGCACGUGCCAAACAGUUUGGGCCAAAUUUUUUUGUUUGGUUUAAACAGAAAGUAAUACUCUUAUCUAUCAAUUUGUUUUUAUUGAAUAAUAAAGAAUGCUAAAAUGUUUAACUUAGAUUUUUCUUUGUUUCAGUGCAUGAAAUCAGUUAGCAUUCACAAUGUUCUAUCCCAGUUAUCUUAUGGUUUCUCCACUCAAGUUACCUCCUAUGGUUGUUACGAUGUUAAUGGAUAUAGAUUCCGUUCAGAGAAAUAUGAGAGGGGAAGACCUGGGUUAACAACCAUCAAUACUGGUGUUUGUGUUACUUCCUAUGAUGAAAACAACAAUGCCCUUGAGUAUUAUGGUGUCAUAGAAGAUAUCAUAAAAAUCGAAUGGGAAGGCUGUUCGAAACUAGAAUUAGUUUUAUUUUAUUGUCGCUGGUUUGAUCCAACACCUAAUGGAUUGAGGCGUACAGAAGAUUUAGGCUUAGUUGAGGUCAAGCAUGCAUUAAGGUUGAAAAGUUUUGACCCAUUUGUGAUGGCUAGUCAAGUUACUCAAGUUUAUUAUCUAUCUUACCCAUGUAAGGAUAAGAAUUUAUCUCAAUGGUGGGUUGUCAACCAAGUUGCUCCUCAUGGAUGUGUACCUCUAAAUGGUGCAAAUGAUGACUCCACGAGUUCUGAACAUAUAAUACAUGAUGUCUAUCAAGAAGAUGGAUUGGAUGGUACCUUUAUUAUUGAUUUGGGGGAAGCAUUGGAUUCUUUAGUAUCUAUGAGCUCAGAUGAGAUUACUGAUGUGGCAGACUUGGAGACAAUAGAGAAAGCCACGGUUGAGGAUGAGGAGUAUGAUGAAGAAGCUACUGAUGAAGAGGGUAACACUACAGAGGAAGAGGAUGAAUCAGACAAAGAGACUGAUGAUCAAGAUGAUUAUUGAAUUUUUGCUCAUGAAUUUUUAGUGCUGUAAUACUAUGGUUUAUCACUAGGAUACAAUGUAUCUUAUUUUGAUAUUAGAUCUGAACUGAGUGUUAUGUAAUCUGAACUUGGUGGCUCUAAAUCUGAAUUUGGCGUUUUACUUUUAAUAUUACAUCUACACUUUUAUUAUUAAAUCUGAACUGCAGCUACUGUAUUUUACUUUUAAUAUUAAACUCCGAACUGCAGCUACUAUGUUUUACUUUUAAUAUUGCAUACAUUUGUUCAGUUUUUGUGUUCAUGUAUACUUAUUGAAUACAAUAUUCUAAUUCACUGUUCCUUUGCAGAUGGCUCGUGGAAUUUGUCAUGCACGUAGAAAUCGACUUCCUAGGAGGCAUGACACUUCUGAAGGAACAACCACCCAAACAAGUGCAUCUCAAGGAACAACCACUACUGAUGGCUCACAAAGGACUAGACCUGCUAGCCCUCACGAAGUAGAACCUCCUAAAAAACGAGGAAGGACGCCGGGGAAGAGAACCAAAUUAAAACCACUUCCACUAACUGGCCGAGUGGCUCUUAUACCAAGCGGUGACUCGUGAGUAAACUACCAA